rnacentral:rRNA from 1 species
GAUGAACGCUGGCGGCGUGCCUAAUACAUGCAAGUCGAACGAGGAGCUCUUGUAGCAAUACGAGGGCUUCCUAGUGGCGAACGGGUGAGUAACGCGUUGGUGACCUGCCCCGAAGAGGGGGAUAACAGUUCGAAAGAACUGCUAAUACCCCAUGUGGUCACGAGGGUUAGAGGCCUCGUGUCUAAAGGAGCAAUCCGCUUUGGGAGGGGCCGGCGUCCCAUCAGCUAGUUGGUAGGGUAAUGGCCUACCAAGGCGACGACGGGUAGGGGGCCUGAGAGGGUGGCCCCCCACAAUGGAACUGAAACACGGUCCAUACACCUACGGGUGGCAGCAGUAGGGAAUAUUGCACAAUGGGCGAAAGCCUGAUGCAGCAACGCCGCGUGCACGAUGAAGGUCUUCGGAUCGUAAAGUGCUUUUCGGGGAGAUGAGAAAGGACAGUAUCCCCGGAAUAAGUCUCGGCUAACUACGUGCCAGCCGCCGCCGUAAGAC